GGGUGGAUGGUCUAGUGGUACGAUUUCUGGUUCGCACCCUCCGGCGACCUACAGAAGGACCUGUGUUCGACUUACAGUUCGUCCA